GACGAACCGUGCGAACGUUGUUCGGAAUCACUGGGCUUAAAGGGCGCGUAGGCGGCCGUCCGAGUCCGGGGUGAAAUCUUUCGGCCCAACCGGAAAAGGGCCUCGGAUACCGGGCGGCUCGAGGGGGGUAGGGGCACGCGGAACUUCCGGUGGAGCGGUGAAAUGCGUUGAUAUCGUGAGGAACACCAAGGGCGAAGGCAGGUACCUGGGGCAUGACUGACGCUGAGAAACGAAAGCUAGGGGAGCGAAAGGG
rnacentral:rRNA from 1 species